rnacentral:rRNA from 1 species
UAAGGAAUAUUGGUCAAUGGGCGCAAGCCUGAACCAGCCAUGCCGCGUGCAGGAAGACGGCCCUACGGGUUGUAAACUGCUUUUGUACCGGAAUAAACUUUGAUACGUGUAUCAAGCUGAAUGUACGGUAAGAAUAAGGAUCGGCUAACUCCGUGCCAGCAGCCGCGGUAAUACGGAGGAUCCAAGCGUUAUCCGGAUUUAUUGGGUUUAAAGGGUGCGUAGGCGGUUCUUUAAGUCAGGGGUGAAAGACGGUAGCUUAACUAUCGCAGUGCCUUUGAUACUGAAGAACUUGAAUACACUUGAGGUAGGCGGAAUGUGACAAGUAGCGGUGAAAUGCAUAGAUAUGUCACAGAACACCAAUUGCGAAGGCAGCUUACUAAAGUGUCAUUGACGCUGAGGCACGAAAGCGUGGGGAUCAAACA